UUACUGCAUGAAUUUCAUAGGGUUUUCUUAGGCAAGGAAUAUGCUGAAAAGGUUUGCUACUUCCUUCUUUUUAAAUAUAGCUUAGAGCACCUGAUAUUCUUUGGCAAUUCUCCUUCCAAGUACAAACUAGUCUAUUGCCUGGCUACGGGCCUGGGCACUAGGUUAUAACACACUGACUAUCACCAAAUAUGUAACAAAGUGCAUUUUAUUUCUGAUGUCUCUCCCUCUGCAUGUUUUUCCUUCAGUCAUGAUUAAGGUCUAAUGAAGUAAGUUUCCCAUUUAUUGCCUACUUCCUAAAACCGGUGCUAUUCUGGAAAGUAAAUUCUUGGUACUACAAUUCACAUAAUCCCUUGACCAACAUAGUCCAGUUGGCUGGGGGAUUUUGGGAAUUGAAAUCCAGGGCAUAACCUUUUCAGAUGGCUGAAAUCAUGCAGACAACUAUUAUAAAAGGGAUUGGAUCUAGCUGGGGAUUUAGUAUUCUUUGUAAAACAAAAAAUUCCUUCAUGCCAUGUUAGGAGCUGCUGCACACAUAAGCAUGUGAUAUACACACACUCUUUCCCAAAUGUUUUUGUGCGAGCACACACAUAGCCAUUGUUUAAUAUGACGCUAGAGAGCUAGAGUUUAUAAAGCUCUAUAUUGAAAAUCCAAAUUCCUACAUUAUAACCUGUCACAUAUCUUUCUAGAAAACAUAGCUUGAUAUAUAUAUAUAUACACACACACACACACACACACACACACAGUAGAGUCUCACUUAUCCAACAUAAACGGGCCAGCAGAAUAUUGGAUAAGCGAAUAUGUUGGAUAAUAAGGAGGGAUUAAGGAAAAGCCUAUUAAACAUCAAAUUAGGUUAUGAUUUUACAAAUUAAGCACCAAAACAUCAUGUUAUACAACAAAUUUGACUUUGGUGCUAAAUUCGUAAAUACAGUAAUUACUACAUCGCAUUACUGCGUACUGAACUACUUUUUCUGUCAAAUUUGUUGUAUAACAUGAUGUUUUGGUGCUUAAUUUGUAAAAUCAUAACCUAAUUUGAUGUGUAAUAGGCUUUUACUUAAUCCCUCAUUAUCCAACAUAUUCGCUUAUCCAACGUUCUGCCGGCCCGUUUACGUUGGAUAAGUGAGACUUUACUGUAUGUACUUUUGUUCAGGACCUGAACAGAAGAGUUAAAUUCCCAAACUGUAUUGAUGGUCUGAUUCGAUUAAGCACUAUUCUUGAGGACUGGAGAAAAGGGAAGACUUUAGAAACUCAAAGUGAUGAAUAGGUAUAGUAAUACAUUUUUUUAAAGGCAGUAGAUUUUGCUGGCCAUACGAAACAUUCAAAUCACCCAAAGAGCAUAAGUCCUGUGAGACCUCUCCAUAUAGGAAUAAGACAAUUUUCAGUUUACUGGGGCUUUCUUUUUUCAAAACAGAAACUCAGUGUAUUUUCUCUCUAGCUCCCAAGAAGCCUGGAGAAUCCUCAGUGUCAGGUUUUAUACCGUUACUAACUUGAGUACCUGGCGUUGCCCAGGUUAUUUAAAAAAGUCAUUUUUUAAAUUGUACAAAUUGCGUAAGGUUGUGGAUUAAGUAAAACUCACGGUUCUGUUCAACAUCUUUAUUAACGACUUAGACGAAGGGUUAGAAGGCACGAUCAUCAAGUUUGUAGAUGACACCAAACUGGGAUAGCUAACACUCCAGAAGACAGGAGCAGAAUUCAAAACGAUCUUGACAGACUAGAGA
ensembl:lncRNA